UACGUAGGGUGCAAGCGUUAAUCGGAAUUACUGGGCGUAAAGCGUGCGCAGGCGGUUGUGCAAGACAGAUGUGAAAUCCCCGGGCUCAACCUGGGAAUUGCAUUUGUGACUGCACGGCUAGAGUGUGUCAGAGGGGGGUAGAAUUCCACGUGUGGCAGUGAAAUGCGUAGAGAUGUGGAGGAAUACCGAUGGCGAAGGCAGCCCCCUGGGAUAACACUGACGCUCAUGCACGAAAGCGUGGGGAGCAAACAGG
rnacentral:rRNA from 1 species